GCAGCAUCUCCUUUCUAAAUGUGCUUAAUCUCAGCUGAAGUCAGCUUCCAUUUUCAUUUGUGGCUUAUAGUAAAUGCCCCAAGCAUACUUUGCACUCACAUUAAUAACCACUUUGUCAUCACAAGCCUUCCUGAUGCUACCUGUUUCUGUGGGUUUUGUUCGUGCAAUUGUUUUCACAAAACAGAGCCAAGCAUGAUUCUUGCUAGCCUCUGUAAAUAGGGAAAGCUAUGAAAUGAUCUGUCCCCUUUAUUCAGUUCAUUCAUUUCACAUUCGGAAACCGGUUUUAUUUUUAGUAAGCAGGGCAGUGGUACAGCCUGCCUGUUGUAAGUGGUCUGGUUUGGGACUUUUCUUUUUGUUCUUGCCGGUUCGGUCUGAGAUUCCAGGCAGGCUGAAGUGUGCUGGGUUUCACUUGCUGUCACUACUCAGGACUGCCAUCAGAAGGAGAGCGCUGGCAGUGCUCACGCUGCUUUCCAUAUCACUAACUGGGAGCGCAAUAAAUAGCGUUCGGCUCGUUGUACGGCUCCUGAAAUGAAUGCGUGCAGAGGCUUCGGUUAGCUGCUUCUCUCCCGUGCAGAAGGGGUGUCACUGCUGGAUACCUCUGUCUUUCUCUCCUGUCUUCAUUGCCAGGUCUGCUGGGGCCGGGUCAAGUGGCACUGCCCAACUUCUCACCAGCCUUGCAGGUGGAAGAGAAUCUGUAACAAGAUUGGGAAAGAAAGAGGAGAAAAAAUUUCUUUUCCAUUCCAUGGGAAAAUAACGUGUUGAAUUAUCAUCUGGAAACUGUGGGAAGAGCCAACAUGAGCAACGAGAGGCCAGUGAACCCUGGUUCGUCUCCACUGACUGAAGGCCUGAAGAGAAAGAGAGGAAGACCAAAGAAGCAGACACAGGUGGAGGCUGGGGGACAAUUGCUGGUGAAGAAACCACGAGGAAGGCCAAAAGGAAGCAAGAAAGUGAGCACUGUAAUUGGACAAAUGGUAGGACCUCCUGCUGGAAAAAGGCCAAGAGGGAGGCCCCGCAAGUGGCCCCAGCUAGCGAUCCAAGAAGGAACGUCUGAGGAAGGAAGUCCUCAGGGAAGCAGUGACUUGAAUUUGAACUCGGCGCCUGCCACACAAGGUUUGAAAUUAGAUAAUUGUAAUUACACAGGGCUAAACUGUGGAACCAUGCUCCUAGCAAACCAUGCAUGUACCCCCAAGGCUGUAGCACUGGCUGCAAUCUUUCUGGUAAACCCUACAAAUAGAGGAGUGUUUGGAAGGCUUCCAGAAACACAAGGAGGGGUAGCACAUUGCUUCCAUCUAAUUUGGUGGUGGCUACUUGAGCAGAAGCAGAGGCAGAAAAGAGGGGAUGGGAGAAGAGUCUAUAUAUUUAUCUUUAUAAGAUGUCUUUUAUCGGAGGUGAUAGUUGCUGUUACAGUAUGA
ensembl:lncRNA